GCGCCGUUGGUGCAGGGGUAGCAUAGUUGCCUUCCAUGAUUCCCGUUUUCGGAUUUCACUGAUAGCAACUGGGAAGGGUUCGAGUCCCUUACGGCGCA